CCGUGCAGCCGGGGAGUUAGCGGUGCCCUGUACCUCCAAUCCGCUAUAGCAGGGGUGAUAUCUUGCCUCGGGUGUAUGUCUGUGGGGCUGCCUUUUAUAAGUGACGUUGACGUCUGGGUCUUGCGCAACAAGAACUUGUGAACCGUGUCAGGUCAGGAAUGAAGCAGCACUAAGCGAGCCCUCUUGUGUGCCGCAAGGCAACCUGGGCCGAGUUAACUGUAAAAGUAACGCUUAUGGACAGCAUUCAAAGCAAGAUGCACGG
rnacentral:SRP_RNA from 1 species